rnacentral:lncRNA from 1 species
UUGCAUUACAUGAUGAUUUUCAUGUAUGUAAUUUGUUUUUAAAACAGAGACGAAGUGAAUUUUGUUUUUAAAAUUGAUUUGAGGAAAGGUGUUUGGGAAUUUAAAAAUUUUCUUUGAGAAAGGAGAUGAUUGAAAAUCUGUUUUUUGGGAAGAUUAGAAUCUUUCAAAGUGCCUUAACCAAAAUUCAUCUUGAAUUAAAUUCAUAUUAAUUAUCGAUUUUACUCCACUUUUUAUUAUUUUGACGAUAAUUUAAUAUACGAAUUCUUAACACAUAUAUUCAUCAAAAUUUUGAAAUCAAUUUUGAU